CGGUGUACCACGGUACAGCGUGAACAUAUAAGAAUAUAUAUAUAUAACCUUUUGUAAGGUUAAAAUGGUACACCGUGGAAUAUUUUAAAAUUAUCGCGCUAAAUAUUGUCUGAAGUAGGUUGCAAUCAUAGACGGAUUUUCAUAUUUUUUACUGGGGUGGUGCCAGAAAUUUUAGGGGGGUGAGCCGCGAGCAGGUGACUGAAGCAACACCAGGGCCUUUUUUAAGGAUUUUCCCGUGGGGGGGGGGCAUUUUUUGAAAAGGGACCUUUCCGUGAGAUAAUAUAUUAGAGGGGGAUAGCAAUGGCUGAAGGCCACGUGUGUGGCCAAUAUACCACGCAUGAAUGGGGGGGUCUGGGGUACUCCCCCAGAAAAUUUUUGAAAUUUGAAUCCCGGAAAUGUCAUUUCCUGCAUUCUGAGCAUCCAAAUUUGGUCCAAAAUUUAUGCUAACUAUACUUGUAUUUGAAAUAAAUAAAGAAAAAAACGCACAAAAAGUAAAAAAAAAAUAACCAUCAUUUAUCAUUACUUAUUGAGGAGGAUAACAAUGGUCAGGUGUGUGGGGGUGUAUUCCCCCAGAAAAUUUUUGAAAUUUGAAGCAUGGAAAUGCCAUUUCCUGCAUUCUGAGCAUCCAAAUUUGCUCUAAAAUUUAUGCUAACUAUACUUGUAUUUGAAGUAAAAGAUGGAAAAAAUGCGCAAAAAGUAAAAAAGAAUAUUAACUGUAAUUUAUUGGCUUAUUAGAGGGAUAAUCCCCAGAAAAUUUUUGAAAUUUGAAACCCGGAAAUGCUAUUUCCUGCAUUCUGAGCAUCCAAAAAAUAAAAAAAAUUAUUAACAAUAAUUUAGAAAAAAGUAACAAUUUAAAUCGAUUUUGUUAAACAAGGACAAGGGAUGAAGCCUAAAACUUACUUUCCGUUUAUGUAUUUGUUAAUCUUCGCUGGUUUGUUUGUAUAAUUUUAGGGAAAAGGGACUUUUCCUGGGGGGGCGGCAAAAUGUGAUUUUGUGGGGGGGGGGGCACAAGGGGGGACUCAUUUGCCCCCCCCCCUCCCAGCUUGUGUGUUAAAAAAGGCCCUGAGCAACACAAAGUGUCGCCAAACCCCAGUAAGGUCUAUAUUCUAGGGGUGGAGCACUAGAGCCGCGAGUGGGAGUCUAGAGAGCUGAAAACAAAGUAUCCCUGGAAAAAUUUGAAAAAAAUCAUGAUUUCUAGCUUCGAAAAAACGUUUUUUGAAGUUGUCAUAUCAAUGGACUUGGCCUGUCCGAUUGUCUGUUGAGACUUGAGAGAGUUAAAGUUAAAUGAAGCUGUAAAAGUGUAAAUCCAAUAGGCCAAUACACAAUAUGCUUUUACUUUUAUAAAAUCAUUGACAUUGUGUCGUUUGAAUCCGAGUACAAUUUAUGAUGCAACUCCGAUGUAAAUAAUAUUUGGGACGUAAAGAUUAAAUCUAGGCAAGACUAUUUCCUAAAAGAAUUAAAACUAAAAAUAAUGUUUGUAAAAUUUCCAAACGUUCUUUGCAAGCAAGCUAUUUGCAUGACAAGGCACUGCAAACUCUAUUCAGGGGAGAUAAUAGAAUUUCAAAACUUUACAAUUGGUCCAAUAAACCAGUGAAUGCAAGCGAGGAGCAAUUAGUUUCAGAGUAUUGCGUCUUUUUCUAUUUGAGUGUACUCCUACGUUUAUUUUGUAUCAUCAACACUCUGCACGUUGGAGUGGACUAUUUAAUUAUUUCAGUUUAUUAUGCCGAAUAUUGGGGGGGUUGAAAAUUUUUUUGGAGGGGUGGACAUUUUGUUUGGGGGGGUUAUAGCUAAUAUUGGGGGGGUAGCACCCCCCUGCACCCCCCCACAAAAUCCGUCUAUGGUUGCAAUACUAAGCAACACACGUUCUUUCAAGUUCAUUUCAUUGGUUUGUAUUACCCUUGUAACUGGGGAUAUUAUCACAGUCUUAG
rnacentral:lncRNA from 1 species